GUUGAGCAUGACUCUAGUCUGGCGCUGUGAAGAGACAUCAGAGGUGUAGAAUAAAUGGGAGGCCCUGCAGCUGUGCAGCUCAGGCCAUGGUCCAGUUGCCAGUGAAAUGCUAAUGAUCAUUUUUUCCACUUGCCCAGUGAGGUGCGCGUGGGGGUGACCUCCAAAGGGCUCUCACUUCUGAUGCCAAGUGCCUGGCAUGACCUGCUCCAGCGACAGUGUCAGGUGGGGAGUUUGACUGGGGCAGUACGCCUGUCAAACCGUAACACAGGUGCCCUAAGCCGAGCUCAGGGAGGACAGAAGCCUCCUGUGGAGCAGAAGAUCAAGGCUCGAUCUUGAUUUUCAGUACAAAUAUUGUCCAUGAAAGCAGGGCCUCAUGAUCCUUCUGACUUUCUGGGUUUUAAGCAGGCAUCCAGGAGACAGUGGAUGAGGAACUCCGGGCAUGAGUCUCCACAUGAGGAACUCAGGCAUCUAGAAUGUUCCAC
rnacentral:ncRNA from 1 species